GAUGAAGAACGUAGCGAAAUGCGAUACGUAAUGUGAAUUGCAGAAUUCAGUGAAUCAUCGAAUCUUUGAACGCAUAUUGCGCUCUCUGGUAUUCCGGAGAGCAUGCUUGUUUGAGUAUCAGUAAACACCUCAACUUCCAUAUCUUUUUUGAAAUGGGAGUUGGACUUGAGUGAUCCCAACGCUUUUCCUCACCGAAAAGUGGCGGGUUACUUGAAAUGCAGGUGCAGCUGGACUUUUCUCUGAGCUAUAAGCAUAUCUAUUUAGUCUGCCUAAAAACAGAUUAUUACCUUUGCUGCAGCUAACAUAAAGGAGAUUAGUUCUUGUGCUGACUGAUGCAGGAUUCACAAAGACAGGCUUCGGCCGACUUUGUAAACUCGAUCUCAAAGCAAGUAAGACUACCCGCUGAACUUAAGCAUAUCAAUAAGCGGAGGA
rnacentral:misc_RNA from 1 species